UUGGGCGUAAGAGCUUGUAGGCGGUUUGUCGCGUCUGCUGUGAAAAUCCGGGGCUCAACCCCGGACUUGCAGUGGGUACGGGCAGACUAGAGUGUGGUAGGGGAGACUGGAAUUCCUGGUGUAGCGGUGAAAUGCGCAGAUAUCAGGAGGAACACCGAUGGCGAAGGCAGGUCUCUGGGCCACUACUGACGCUGAGAAGCGAAAGCAUGGGGAGCGAACAGGAUUAGAUACCCUGGUAGUCCAUGCCGUAAACGUUGGGAACUAGGUGUGGGUCUCAUUCCACGAGAUCCGUGCCGCAGCUAACGCAUUAAGUUCCCCGCCUGGGGAGUACGGCCGCAAGGCUAAAACUCAAAGGAAUUGACGGGGGCCCGCACAAGCGGCGGAGCAUGCGGAUUAAUUCGAUGCAACGCGAAGAACCUUACCAAGGCUUGACAUAUACCGGAAACACCCAGAGAUGGGUGCCCCGCAAGGUCGGUAUACAGGUGGUGCAUGGUUGUCGUCAGCUCGUGUCGUGAGAUGUUGGGUUAAGUCCCGCAACGAGCGCAACCCUCGUUCUAUGUUGCCAGCACGUAAUGGUGGGGACUCAUAGGAGACUGCCGGGGUCAACUCGGAGGAAGGUGGGGAUGA
rnacentral:rRNA from 1 species